rfam:Triticum aestivum genome assembly, contig: Triticum_aestivum_CS42_TGACv1_scaffold_129373_2BL
UUUAUACUCCCUCCGUCCCAAAAUUCUUGUCUUAGAUUAGUGUAGAUACGGAUGUAUUUAGUGUAGAUACGGAUGUAUCUAAUACCAAAACAUGACUUGAUACAUCCGUACUUAGACAAAUCUAAGACAAGAAUUUUGGGACGGAGGGAGUAUUUC